rnacentral:misc_RNA from 1 species
UUGAACUGUCAACAUGAGUUGUUGCUGGCCUCUCCCCAAGCGGGGGGAGGCACGUGCACGCUCUGUUUGCACAUCCACUCACAUCUGUGCACCCUCCGUGGUUCUAUGGUCUAGAGGAGAGAGUCCCUCUCUCCUCCUUCUGUAGCUCUGCGUCACCACAUCCACUCUGUAUUAAAGUCUUAUGGAACGUAUGCCGCGUUUGACGCAAUGCAAUA